rnacentral:rRNA from 1 species
GAUGAACGCUGACAGAAUGCUUAACACAUGCCAGUCCACUUGAAUUUGGGUUUUUACCUUAGGUUUGGGUGGCGGACGGGUGAGUAACGCGUAAAGAACUUGCCUCACAGCUAGGGACAACAUUUGGAAACGAAUGCUAAUACCUAAUAUUAUGAUAAUAGGGCAUCCUAUAAUUAUGAAAGCUAUAAGCGCUGUGAGAGAGCUUUGCGUCCCAUUAGCUAGUUGGAGAGGUAACGGCUCACCAAGGCGAUGAUGGGUAGCCGGCCUGAGAGGGUGAUCGGCCACAAGGGGACUGAGACACGGCCCUUACUCCUACGGGAGGCAGCAGUGGGGAAUAUUGGACAAUGGACCGAGAGUCUGAUCCAGCAAUUCUGUGUGCACGAUGAAGUUUUUCGGAAUGUAAAGUGCUUUCAGUUGGGAAGAAACAAAUGACGGUACCAACAGAAGAAGUGACGGCUAAAUACGUG